UCAGAGUAUAAAUAGGACACAGCCUUGUGUUUCAUGAUUGGAAUUCAUCAUGUCGAGGAUUCACAAGAGGUCUUCUGUUGUUGGCUGUAUGGACGUCCACAAAUCCCUCCAUCGUGUCCCAGAGGACGAAAGAGCGACGUGGAUUGAUUUCAUUUUUGAAGGCGAAGUCCCUGCUACAGUUGGCAAAAACCUGUUGGUCUGCGCUAACCACUUUACGACUGACUGUUUCUCCAACUUCGGUCAGUACACGGAAGGAUUAGCUGUGAAACUUUAUCUGAACGUGGGGUCCCUUCCAACUUUGCGUGGAAUACCUACAGACAUUUGCCUCAGAGCAUCCUGCAUCAUCGAAGUUACCUGCUACAAGGGAUAUUGGCUGCAAUACUGAGCCACCUCAGAGACACCAUGUUGGCACACAACUCUCUUUGAAGACUCUUCAUUCACAUUAGAGAAGUGAAGCUGUCCAGGCUACUGUGUCCUUCAAGGACUUUGGCACAUCCACUGAUCCCUUCACAGGCCCAUUGCCUGUAGCAUGCUCGACACCUGUAAAGCCGCCACCAUCUAAUAGACCUCGGCUGCAGCAGCAGGAGGAGGAGGAGGAGGAGGAGGAUUGUCUCGAGGGCAGCGCAAUACUGGCUUCUGAAGGGCUGGACGCAACCUUUCACCCUGAAGACUCGGUCAUAACUUUGCCUGAGUCAACAUUCAUGUCAAAUGCUGAAUCCACAUCCAAACACGAUAUAAGGAAGUACAUAGUGUACGAGACCUGUCUCAUGGAGCUGUUCGAGGUGUGUCCUGUGUGCAAGCGUGUUUGCAGUGUGAAAAACAAAGUGCUUGGGACAUUCAUAUCAGUGAAACAGUGAAACAGUUGGCAAAGCCAACCUCUUCUGGAUAGCACACCAGCUGGGAACUUGCAGCUUUGAGCAGCAGUGUACAUCAGUGGAGCCUCUUUCUUCAAAAUUCAAAGGGUGCUCAAGGCGAUGCAUCCGCAGAUUUUUCUGUAUGAUACCUUUCGUCGGCAUGCCCGAAUGUUUAUAGAGCCAGCUAUUGUCCAUAAAUGGAACCAUUCCCAGGAUGUGAUGCUGCAGCAGCUCAGCAAAGAAAGAAAAGUAAUACUUGGUGGCGACAUGAGGGCUGAUUCUCCAGGGCACUGUGCGAAAUUUGGGUGCUACACCAUGAUGGACCUCAACACCAAAACUAUUGUCGAUCUCCAGUUGGUUCAGCAUCGUCACUGACCGUCAUCCACAAAUCCAGAAAUGUCUGAGGGACAACAACAUCACUCAAUUUUAUGACGUCUGGCACAUGGAGAAAGGUACACUCACCCAACGAAACAUUAGAAACCUAUAGCAGGGACCCCCUUUUGCCUUCAGAACAAGAUACAAGAAGUAUUCUGUACAUAUUUCGGUGCAUAAUGAUAGGAUAGUAUCUUGUAGUUGGGGAAAAUGUGUGGAAUUCAUAUUGGGUUCACUUCCGAUUCUUAAAAUAUUUAUUCUGAUUUGUAGGAAUUACAAAGCAACUACAUAAAAUUAGCAAAACCAAGGACUGCCAGAAAGUAAAGACGUGGAUGCGAGCCAUCAGAAACCACAUCUAUUGGACGGCGGCAUCGUCAAUAACCGGGCCGGAGAGAGUGGCAAAAUGGACCUCCCUCCUGAACCAUGUUCAGGAUAUUCAUACUCAUGAUGAUCCCCUCUUCCCAAAAUGUCUGCAUCCAAUUCGCAGUACAACGGACAAGAGUAGAUGGCUCUCAGGAGCAACUCCUGCAUUCUACAAGCUGGAGAAGGCGCUGACCAAGAAGACAGUCCUGAGGGAUAUAGCAAAGCUCAGUCCCCACCACCAGACGUCCUCUUUGGAGGCAUUCCACGGCGUGAUCCUGCGGUUCGCUCCUAAAAAUGUGGUCUAUCCAUUUCUAGGAAUGCUGUGCAGACUCUACCUGGCUGCACUGCAUUACAAUGAGAAUUCUGAUAGAGGACAAGCCACUACGUCAUCAGGGGAUCUUAUGUUCAGACUGACCUUUCCUAAGGCCAGGAAGGGAGAGUACAGAGCCAAACCAGUGCAGACUGAGGCGACAUUCCAGUAUGUGAAUGAUUUGAUGGACAUGAUCAUGGAGAAGGUCUUUGUCGACCCAGCAUCCUACAGAGCUGAGAUUCUGAAGAUAAACAUCCCGCCGGAACUGUCCUCAGAAUAUGAGCAUCCAGACAAGGAGGAGGUCAUCGCCAGCUACGUCUCCAGAUUUAAUCAAGGGAGGGUGGUUUGAAGCCUCCGUAUAUUCCAUGGGCGUCCGGAAAUUCCCGGUGUAUGCGAAGAACCACGCAUGAUGGGAUAACAACCCGUAUCUUCCGCCCAAGGAAGCCCCAGCACCAGCUCACAAAAUGUCUGUAGGCUAAAUACCUGUAACGACUGAGAAAAUGUAACAUUGUUAGUCAACAGGUUCUACAAUGUCAACAUCUGUGUUCACAUUUUCUCAUUGAAUUCAGUGAAUUCUUCACUUAUACUGUAUUUAGAUGCACAAAUAUUCAUGACUGCAUUCAAUAAAUGUUUAUUGUAUCUGUACAAUGUUUUAUGUGAAUGAAUGGGUAAUAUGCAGUAUCUGCUUAUGAAAAAAUUGGCUUGUUAAAAUAUGAUGUGAAAUUGUGGCUUUGGCUGACUUUAUUUUGUUUAUUGUGUAUGAACAGUCAAGUAGGUUAUUAUAUGUAAAACUCACUGCUCUAUCCCCCGUAGUCGCAAAGGACCGUAGUCAGCUCUGUAGAUGUUGCAUGCGUUCUGCAGCGAGAACACAUUCAGACAAACCGGUUCUAAACCUGGAUGGUCUAUCAUGCAGGGAGGCCUUUCAUCCAGCUGUUCCAGCCGUCUUGUAACCUAUUAUGGAUAACAUGAGGUGAGUAUCUGCAGUGGCAUGUUAUCAGAAAUCAUGCACUGCAAACAAGUGUAGGUAAGGGUUAGGUAGCUGCUAAUGUUACCUGAGGCACCUCAGGUAGCAUAAGUUCUCCGGCUCUGACUGCAUUGUGACAAAGCACCUGAUGAUGAUGUGAUGUCGAAUCCAGACAGAAGCGCCUCAAGGCCAUGAAGCGGCGAGAGCCGAGCGGGAAAAAAUGAUGAUGUAUACAAAAAUAUGUUAUGUUUAAAAAUGUUCAUGUUUAAAUGAGAAACAAUUGUUUGAUUAAAUUGU